UCCUCUUUAGCUCAGUUGGUAGAGCACACCCCUGAUAAGGGUGAGGUCGCUGGUUCAAGUCCAGCAAGGGGAACCA
rnacentral:tRNA from 1 species